rnacentral:rRNA from 1 species
CUCAAAGGAAUUGACGGGGACCCGCACAAGCGGUGGAUGAUGUGGUUUAAUUCGAUGCAACGCGAAAAACCUUACCUACCCUUGACAUGCCAGGAACUUGCCAGAGAUGGCUUGGUGCUCGAAAGAGAACCUGGACACAGGUGCUGCAUGGCCGUCGUCAGCUCGUGUCGUGAGAUGUUGGGUUAAGUCCCGCAACGAGCGCAACCCUUAUCAUUAGUUGCUACGCAAGGGCACUCUAAUGAGACUGCCGGUGACAAACCGGAGGAAGGUGGGGAUGACGUCAGGUCAUCAUGGCCCUUAUGGGUAGGGCUACACACGUCAUACAAUGGCCGGUACAGAGGGCUGCCAACCCGCGAGGGGGAGCUAAUUUCAGAAAACCGGUCGUAGUCCGGAUCGCAGUCUGCAACUCGACUGCGUGAAGUCGGAAUCGCUAGUAAUCGCGGAUCAGCUUGCCGCGGUGAAUACGUUCCCGGGUCUUGUACACACCGCCCGUCACACCA